CAUUGCUGCUACAGACUAUAAGUCUGGUUCUUUUUACACCCCACACUCAUCGUACUACUCUCUUUUACCCAUUUUUAGGCUGUCGAGCUUAUAUAAUUGCUCCACACGGUUUAUUCCUGUGAUUUAUCCUACUACCAGGUACAUACACCUGCUCAUAUGGUAUUCUACCAUACAUUUCAUUUCAUCCCCCUAGUUUAGAGUACUG
rnacentral:lncRNA from 1 species